AAGGUAAAAGGCAGAGUGGCCUCUGUGGCCAGGGAGCCGCAGGCAAGGGACUAAGGGGAGGGGGGCUCAGUGCCAGCUGCUUAAAAAUGCCCCUGUGGCAGCGAGGGGCACCAGAGGCUGGGUCUAAUUAGUUGAGAAGCAGUGACAACCCCAACCACUCACCAAACAGGCUGGUUCCCAUCUCCAGGCCCCAAGGAGCCACACCUGGACCAGAUCCCAGGAAAGGCAAGGGCACUGACUGGUGGGAGCCACCCCUGCCACGCUGAUGUUGGAGAAGCAAGAACUCUGGAGAAGCAGCCUCCUGGGACCAGAGGAGGGCCAGCAGCGGGCAGCUCAGAGACAGAACUCUCACCCACGCCUCCCCAAGCCUCCCGACAGAAGACAGAGGUCCCCCACGGCCCAGAGACAUUUCCUGAAGACAUGGGGAGCACAGAGGCGGAAACAGCCCAUCCACCCAGGAGCGGCCCCCAAUGCUGCCUGCAGCCAGCACCCAGAGCCAUCAGGUAAAACUGAGGCCACCUGGCUCAACAUUGCUUUUCACAGAAGGGGAAACAGCCACAGAGAGAAGGGCCUGGUAAGAAGUGCAACCUGGGACCCCCAAGCGGUGGCUCUCAUCCUGACCGGGGAUCCAGAGUAGGAGGGAGCCUUUGGUGGGGUAAGUGGAAUGGGGGAGGGGUGGCCAUAGACCCCUCUUCUCAGUGAGGCCCUCAGGUGAAGGAGGCAGGGGUUGGGACAAGUGCUAAGUGUGCAAGACUCCAGGGAAGAGCUGCUGGAGCCAGGAGAAGCCCCUCCCUCCCAGCCCCUCUGCCCCUCCUCUCAGCCCAGCUGCACUGACUCCUCCUCUGGGAAGCCUUCUCAGCUUCCCCAGGGGUGGGAACUUUUUGUCCUCUGAGUGUGCUUGGCUGUCCUUUCUAGGGCACGCUCUCUCUUUCUCUCUUUCUCUCUCUCUCUCUCUCUCUCUCUCUCUCUCUCUCUCGCUCUCAUCCCACUUGAGUCUGUCCCCUGUUCACCUUGUGAGGGGCAGUUUCCUUCUACUCAAUCUGACUGAGGUCCUCCAGCUCAAGGACGGCGUGUCUCUCAGUCCCACUUCCCCUUGGCCCAUAGAAGAGGCAGUGUGCUGAAUGGGCAGGUGAAAUGAUUAAACCCUGCCCCCGAACCUAAGGUCUGGCCAAUUGCUCAGGGCAUGAGACAUUCAGUGUAGAGGUUAAAAUGAGGGCCCUGGGUUAGGAACCCCAGUUCAGUUCCCAGCUCUGUACCCUUGGAAAAAUCCAUUCCCAGGGAGCUUUGUGGAUGCACAGGGACUUGCGUAAUGAAAACAUUCAAUAUCCAGGACUAUAAAAUUCCACAAAUGACCAUGCUUAUUACAUUCAUAAUCAUGAUGAUUAUUCCAGACACAAAGGAACAGAAUGAGGCACCAACAGCCAGGGGUGGGCAGAUUCAAGGGCCACAGAGGAAAUGGAGGCAAACACCUUCCCCUGGUCAGAGUCUGUGCCUCAGCCCUUCUCCCUGCAUCAGUUUCUCCUUCAGAAGCGUGGGACUACCUCCCAUCUAGUUCCUGGUUCUAAACCCAGGGGAGAUGUUAUCUUUGCUGCAAUAAUCUUAGCCUACAUCUUGGAAUGGAAAUGGCCUUGGUGGAAAUGGUCUUCAACUCUCCUGGUCCAAGCUCAGGCCCUGUGACCCUGGAACAACCCCCUUCCCUUCCUGGUCCUCUAUGUAGAAGCAAUAACAUUCCGUUGCCAGCGGCACCAGCCAUUCUGAUGAUUAAAUGGGAUCGGACACUGUUUCCCAAACUCAGUCAUUCAGAUGCCCCCUAUUUUAUUUCUUCCAUGUCUGCAAACGAUUAUAAUAUUUUUAAAUGUA